AUUGAACGCUAGCGGCAUGCCUUACACAUGCAAGUCGAGCGGAGUGGCGGACGGGUGAGUAAUGCCUAGGAACCUGCCCGGUAGCGGGGGAUAACUACCGGAAACGGGCGCUAAUACCGCAUACUAUUAGAUGAGCCUAGGUCGGAUUAGCUAGUUGGUGGGGUAACGGCCUACCAAGGCGACGAUCCGUAACUGGUCUGAGAGGACGACCAGUCACACUGGAACGGAGACACGGUCCAGACUCCUACGGGAGGCAGCAGUGGGGAAUAUUGGACAAUGGGGGAAAGCCUGAUCCAGCCAUGCCGCGUGUGGGAUGAAGGUCUUCGGGUUGUAAAGCACUUUAAGUAGGAAAGCGGUACCUACAGAAUAAGCACCGGCUAACUACGUGCCAGCAGCCGCGGUAAUUC
rnacentral:rRNA from 1 species